rnacentral:lncRNA from 1 species
GUGAAAAAUUGACAUAGAUACUGAGGUAUCAAGUGAAUUUAUAAUUUCAAUUGGCCCAGAUUCCCUGGCUGCCCACUAUAUGAAUUAAAUCAGAAUAUCUAGGGGUGGGGCUCAAUCAUCAUGAUGUUUAAACUCUCCAAGUGAGUCCAAAGUUCAGCCAAAGCUGUAAGAGUGAAUUGUCCAAGGGCCAUUAGAGUCACCUGAUACUUUGCUGGACAUAUAGAAUCUUGGGUUCCAUCUCAGAAUCUGCAUGUUAUAAUUUUAGAAGCACUGCUCUGGAACAGUACUUCUUAAACUUAAACCAUGCAUAAGGACCCCCUGGAAGGCUUGUGAAAACACAGAUUCCUGAGCCCUAUCUCCAGUUACAGAUUCAGCAGGCUUGGGAAGCAGCAGGACAGUUUACAUUUCUAACAAGUUCAUAGGUGCUGCUACUGCUGUAAGUGGGUCCCACAGCGUUGUAGACUUGCUGCUGCUGCUGCUGCUAAGUCGCUUCAGUCGUGUCCGACUCUGUGCGACCCCAGAGACAGCAGGCCACCAGGCUCCCCUGUCCCUGGGAUUCUCCAUGCAAGAACACUGGAGUGGGUUGCCAUUUCCUUCUCCAGGUGUACUUAAUACUGAAGAAUGGGCGGGGGAGGAGCAUCCACAACUCAAAAGGCUAGAAAGGCUCGGAGGCUGUGUGUGGGCAGUGAUUCUUCUCCCAGUGCAGGGUUUGAUGCGAGAACCUCUUCUCUGAGGGCAAGAGUGAGCGGAGUGAGAAGAGGGUUUGAGGGUUUCAGUUACUUCUGAAAAAGAAGCAGCAUCUCUUCAUGUGAGAAGAAAUGAAGUACCACACUGAAGAAGGAUCUCAUUUGCAUGCAUUGCUCUUCCCAGCUCCUGUCCUGUGUACCCUUCAGGUCUUCCCACUUAAAAUUGCAUGUGGAGAAGGUAAUGGCAGCCCACUCCAGCAUACUUGUCUGGAGAAUUCCAUGGUUGGAAGAAACUGGUGGGCUACAGUCCAUGAUGUCGCAAAGAAUCAGGCACGACUGAGUGACUUUCACUUCACAAGCAUAUGCCGUGUUGCUUUGUGUGUCUUUAAACAUUUAAAUAAAUCAUGCUUUUAUAUAUUGGCAUUUAUCUUGAUUUUUUUAUUUAACAUUAUGUUUUUGAUAUUUAUGCAGGUUGCUACAUUCAGAUUUAAUUAAGUCCUUGCCAUAGUAAAAGGUAUGUUAACUUUUAGAUGUAUCAAUAUAAUAUGAAUGUCUUUAAUCCUUCUCUAGGAUCACUUUUUACUAUUAAAGCAUGUAGCACAGGGAACUAUUAUCAAUAUCUUUAAUAACCUGUAAUGGAAAAGAAUCUAAAAAGAAAGUAUACCUAUAUCUUAAUCUCUUUGCUGUAAACCUGGAACUAACACAACACUGUAAAUUAUAUUUCCAUAAAAAUUAAAAAAUCUAAGCCUCUUUCCUCAGUGACUGCAUGUGGUCCAGGCCUCUCCCAAAAUUUUAUCUAAGGAUUCCCAAUAAUGCUUUCACCCAAUCAGUUGUCAAUUAUCAAGAACUUAUGAGCUUGCAAUGAUUGCUGUAAAAGAUAUUUGUUGAUGUACUCCUAGAAAAGAAAAAGUAUGCUUGAGUGAAAUAAAUUAGCUCCAAAUAAAAAAAUCUUAUUUGACAGACUUUUACAAAACUGUUCACAUUUUUCUAAGUUCAGCUAGAAGGAGGAGUCUGUCACUAGAAUUAAAAAUAACUCUGUUCCCAGAAUUCCAUAAUGGGUAAGAAAGUUCAAAAGAAUAAAAAUGUUUAAAGAUAAUACUGCUACUGCUACAAAAAGGCUUUAGAUAUAUUAACUAUUUUGAAGAUGAGUUCUAUUUUACCCGCCUUUAUUGUGUCUAAUAAUCAUAUAAAACAAGG